GCUGGAUUAAUUGACUGAAGUUCUUUAAUUUCCUUCAGAAGUCUUAGACUUCAAAAAGAAAAGAAAACAGAAAAAAAUAACAUACCUCUUAUUAAAAUGUCUCGGGAAGAAAAACAGAAUUUUACAACAUAAUAAAGCUCACUUUGAGUGCUGGUCGCAGCAGGGACGAGUGGUUACCAGUGUUUUCAAAGUGCAAUAUAGUGAUGGAUUCAAGCUCUGGCCAGACCAACUUAUCAAUAUUAGCUUCUAAGCAGAGAGUGCCGGUCUCUCCGAUAUAAAAUAUAAUAAAAACUUUGUAACCGGUGUAGAGAUUUUUAGCCGAGCUCCUGCUCCAAUUGGUUGUGAGCGUUCUGAUGCUUUCCAACAAAUCUUUUGCUCGGAGGGCGAUCGCAAUUCGAAAAUAAUUUGUACGUUAUUCGGACUUGUACUCUGGACAUUGGAUUGUGGCCUUCCGAAUGGUAGUUCGCAAUUCUAACCACUCGGCUAUUAUAGCUUCAGCUUAAGAAUCCCUCAGGCAUUCAAAAGCGGCUUAAAAGUCUCGGUCUCUCUACUAUCUACUACUAUCUCUACUAUCAUUAGGAAACACAACAAAAAUCAAAGAAAAAGGUGGAAUAUGAAAUUUAUGGAAAGUGAAAGGUGGAAAACAACGUAAAAUGGCUCUUAAUAACUGCUAAUAUCAGGGAAACAUAUCAGUACCGAGAACCACUCGGACUUUGUUAACUGUGUCUUGACAAUCUCAUUCAGACCAAAAUUAAGGAAAAGGAAGGGAAGGUAGUGCCCGGGUUACAUUCAGCUGAAUUUAUAUCUUUCCGACGGGAGCCAAUUGCGAUGCCAAAACGACGCGUCCAAAACCCUAAGCAAAUAAAUGAAUUUUAUUUUAUUCCCCAUUCUAAUUUGUGGUU